rnacentral:lncRNA from 1 species
UUUUGUAAGAAUUAUGCAUUUUGAUUUUUUAUUUUGUUUGACUCUAUUUUAAUUAAAUUUGACAUAAUUUGAUGGAUAAAAUUAAUUCCUAAAAUGAAUUGAACUUUGCGGGUUGUGGGGAAUUUUCUUUCCAUAAGAUUCCUGCCCGUGAAAUUCCAAAGACAAAAUUCCAAAUCCACAGAUCCACUAGCCCGCGAAAUCACGUGAACAUGCAAAACAACUUUCUAUGUUUUGCUUGCAAACUCGCAGGAGGCACAAAUCCUACACCCGCAGAUUGUGCCCAUGGACCUUGCCUAGGGAACGACAAGCGUGCAUGAAUCCAUUUUUGGCCUUGCCUGAUUGGACACCACUACAUGGAAAAGUAUUAGUGCCUCAACCACCUGGCAGUGACAAGCUUUUGGCCAGCUAGAUAUUACAACUCCAUCUUCUUUCUACAACUUACUGCCGGUCAUUUCUUCUCAUCAACGGUUGGGAGCGGCUGCAUGUGAAUAGAAGGCUUGUAUUAGCUGGACAUUCCCUUAAAAGCCUCUUCUACCCUAAUAACUCCUUCAUUCAUUCAACCAAAAAACAAAAUAGCAAGAAAAUUAGUAAGUUGAGAGUAAUUAGAGACUUCGGUAGUGAGGGAUUUAGGAAAAACGAAACUGGUGUUCGAGUGAGGUUGGGAGCCUGAAGUUGGUUUAUGUUUGAGAUAAGCCUUCAAUUUUUCUGGAAUACAUCCUUCCAUUUCUCCCUAGACUUGAACACAGCCCUCACCGAUGUUAGGAUUUCAGAAAUAGUGUAGAAGGCUUCAAACAAAGCAAUUUUUCCCAAAAUUUUUCAGAAGUUGCAGACCAAGCAGUUAGGUUACUAUCCUUUUGUUUUUCUCUUCCAUUUAGUUAAUCUAUUGAGCUUUAUGUAGUCUGAAAUUAUAAUAGGAUCAUAAAAACUUGUUAGAAAUCGGCUAAACCAAUUAAAUACUCUAAAAACAGGAAAUUAAUUAUAACUUUUUAUAACAGCUUCACCAUGUUGCAGAACCUUCCUUCAGUCUUCAAAACCCGACUGUUCCCUUGUGCAUUUUCAACUUGAAACUAUGACUCCUUUGAGGUAAGGUGGGUAAUAGUUUAUUAAAUGCAUAUAUGGAUUUCUAGAUGACAUUUCAUUCGGUAAAUCUCUUCAAAAAUUCAAAAGCAAAGAUACAUUUUAAAAGAAAAGGGUUAGUGAGUUCAUGUUUGCAUUUUGAUGUUUGUAUAAAUUAUUUUGAACGAUUUUAUUGUUGUGAAUGUUGGUCUUAUAUUGACAAAUGAGAUGAAUGAUGAUUUGCAAAGGGAAAAUGGGAUAGGGUCAAUGACAGAAGCCAAUUUACUUAUGUUAAGCGUGUUAGGCACCAAUGUGUCAUCGUUGUUAUGCACACACGUGCUUACUGUGCUGGUUCACGGAGAAGAUAUUUUUUGAGCACCCAGAACUGUCUGAAAACGUCUCUGGCACGAUUCUUUUGUGCAAUUGCUGAUUACGCGAGUGAGAAAUGCUGUCAGUCAUUUGCAAAUGCCAAAAAGGGAUGCGUGUGAAUGUGUCCAUUACACAUCAACCCAUGCCCCAUGGGCCAAUUGCCUUGUGCAAUAUAGGCCAACAGGCCAUGCUGGAUCGAUAGGCAUAAGCAUGUCGAGGGACCUUAACAGAAGCCCACUGGGCCUUGUACCUAGUAAGGGAGAUUCCUCUCUCGUGUUGUACAAUUUGGACAUAAUGGGCCUUUGGGAAAAAAAUUGGAAAUUUAAUAAAAAGAAAUUAAAAAGUAACAACUGGUAUGGUUUUAGAAAUUGUAAGGAAAUAGUGAAGUAAAGUUAAUUUAGAAUAAAUUAAAAGAUGAUAAAAAUAAAAUAAUUAAGACAUUAAAAUUACAAACAAUAAAAGUUAAGUAAAAAUAAGUAAUAAAAUAUCCUUAAAAACCUAAAUGAAUAAUUAAUAAGAAUUCAAAACUUUAGUAAAUAAAUAGGGAAAAUUAACAUAAAACUUGGGAAAUUAAAUUAAGAAAAAUUUAAAAGAUCUAAAAUUUUAAUAACAAAGAGUUUUCUUUUAUCACUCAUUCAAAACAAAGUCUAUAAUCAUUGAAUAAUUUAUUAACCAGCACAAGUCAAAAUAUGUCACCAACAAGCAUUCAUACUAUCUUACGUUAUUCUUACUUUAUUUAUCUAAAAAGAGCACUUAAAAACAUAAAAAUAAAGUACUACGAAAUCUCUUACUGUAAUCGGAUUGACUUAGCCUUUUGGUAGCGAAGGAAAAGCUUUUAGAAAUCCACCGAACGAGUUUGUGAAACUCCAAACUUUUCAUUUCUUUCUUGCUCCUUAACUUUGUCAAAAGUUUCUCCUCUUUCUUUCUUUAAGAUUAAAAAAAUAAAG